rnacentral:lncRNA from 1 species
UUGGCGUUUCUAAACGCAAUCUUUGGCUUCUUGUGUGAGUUUGUUCUAUUGGGGUUGUUGUUAGCUUGCUUCAGGUCUUAAUAUGCUUGCCCGUGAUGUUUAGUUUCGAGUUUGAUUGUCUUAUUCUCGGUUUGUCUUGUGUUAGUUUGUUUAGGUUGUUGUGUGUGUUGUGUGUUCUUUUUUAUGUUUGUGUAUGGUUUUAAUUGUCUCGAAGGUUCAGUGGUGAGUAGAGACCGGAGUCUAUGUUCUUCCGCCCCAAUAAAUUGAGAGCAACCUGAUUACUGCAUUUUGCCACAUGUCAAUUAACAUAAUGUGCACGCUACCACAAUCACAUGGUAUAUCGAUGCAUCACUUUAGGAUCGAAUCCACAAAAAACUAGUGAUAUAUAACACUAAGAAUACACACAUUUUUCUAAUCUAACAAACUAAGAAUAUGGAUUACUGGUAACAAGCUAAGAUUCUAGAUAUAUAAACAUGUUAUCUCAAAUUCAAACAAUAAAUAAGUGCAAGAACUAAAAUUUCAAUCAAGUGCUAAGGAUGGAUCCAUGGACAAGGAUAAUUGAUAUAAGGUGGUCAAGGUUCUAUCUAGGAUGUUAAAAAACAAUCAACAAGUCUAUAGGUCUAGAUCUCAUUCUAAUAGACUAAUCCAAAUACUUCUUAUGCUAAUCAUGCAUUAAACAUCAACUCUCGUUGGCCUAACACAUUCAAGCAUGCAUAAAUCACAAGUCUACUAACCAUUUAACGUCCCCAAUAUCAAUUCUCAUUGGUUAGACAUGUAAAAGACAAUAUUAGGUUGGUUCAAGCAUUUAAUCGAACAUCUUUCGGACAUAAAAUUAUUUAAGCUCUAAAUCAACUUGAUCAAGCUUAAUCUAGCAUUAAGAACACCUAACAAGCAUAAAACAAUGUUAAUCAAGCAAGAAACACCCUAAAUAUCCACCUAAUCACCCAAUCCACCUAACCCAUGAAUCACAAGGUCACUACUCACUAAUCUCCAU